UACAGAGGGUGCGAGCGUUAAUCGGAAUUACUGGGCGUAAAGCGUGCGUAGACGGUUAUUUAAGUCGGGUGUGAAAGCCCCCGGCUCAACCGGGGAAUUGCGCCCUAAACUGGCGAGCUAGAGUGAGAUAGGGGUAUGUGGAACUUCCGGUGGAGCGGUGAAAUGUGUUGAUAUCGGAAGGAACGCCGGUGGCGAAAGCGACAUACUGGAUCUUGUCUGACGCUGAGGCACGAAAGCCAGGGGAGCGAACGGG
rnacentral:rRNA from 1 species